rnacentral:rRNA from 1 species
AACGAACGCUGGCGGCAUGCCUAACACAUGCAAGUCGAACGAGACCUUCGGGUCUAGUGGCGCACGGGUGCGUAACGCGUGGGAACCUGCCCUUAGGUUCGGAAUAACUCCCCGAAAGGGGUGCUAAUACCGGAUAAUGUCUUCGGACCAAAGAUUUAUCGCCUUUGGAUGGGCCCGCGUUGGAUUAGCUAGUUGGUAGGGUAAAAGCCUACCAAGGCGACGAUCCAUAGCUGGUCUGAGAGGAUGAUCAGCCACACUGGGACUGAGACACGGCCCAGACUCCUGGGGGGGGCAGGAGGGGGGAAUAUAGGAGAGGGGGCGAAAUCCUGAACCACCACGGCCGGGAGGAUGAAAAGGGCUUUGGGUUUGAAAAUCUCUUUUGCCGGAGAUGAUAAGAAGAGAACGGGGAGAAUAGACCCCGCCAACCUCGGU